rnacentral:rRNA from 1 species
AGUGAACGCUGGCGGCAUGCCUAACACAUGCAAGUCGAACGGUAACAGGCCCGCAAGGGUGCUGACGAGUGGCGGACGGGUGAGGAAUACAUCGGAAUUUGCCCAGUCGUGGGGGAUAACGUAGGGAAACUUACGCUAAUACCGCAUACGACCGAGAGGUGAAAGCGGGGGAUCAGCAAUGACCUCGCGCGAGUGGAUGAGCCGAUGUCGGAUUAGCUAGUUGGCGGGGUAAAGGCCCACCAAGGCGACGAUCCGUAGCUGGUCUGAGAG